rnacentral:rRNA from 1 species
UACGUAGGGGGCGAGCGUUGUCCGGAAUCAUUGGGCGUAAAGCGCAUGUAGGCGGCUCGGUAAGUCUGCUGUGAAAGUCCAGGGCUCAACCCUGGGAUGCCGGCCGAUACUGUCGGACUAGAGUCCGGAAGAGGCAAGUGGAAUUCCCGGUGUAGCGGUGAAAUGCGCAGAUAUCGGGAGGAACACCAAUUGCGAAGGCAGCUUGCUGGGACGGUACUGACGCUGAGGCGGCGAAAGCGUGGGGAGCAAACAGG